rnacentral:rRNA from 1 species
CGAGUUUGAUCCUGGCUCAGAAUGAACGCUGGCGGCGUGCCUAACACAUGCAAGUCGGAUGUGCCCGCAAGGGUGCAUGGCAGACGGGUGAGUAACGCGUGGGGAAUCUACCUCUUUGUGGGGAAUAACGCUCCGAAAGGAGUGGUAAUACCGCAUGAGACCAAUGGCUGGAAUGCUGUUGGUGAAACCUGGGGACCGCAAGGCCUGGGGCAAGGAGAGGAUCCUGCGUCUGAUUAGCUAGUUGGCGGGGUAACGGCCCACCAAGGCGACGAUCAGUAGCCGGCCUGAGAGGGUGAUCGGCCACACUGGAACUGAGACACGGUCCAGACUCCUACGGGAGGCAGCAGUGGGGAAUUUUGCGCAAUGGGCGAAAGCCUGACGCAGCAACGCCGCGUGGGUGAUGAAGGUCUUCGGAUCGUAAAACCCUGUCGUCGGGGACGAAGGUAGCUUAGUUAACAGCUGAGUUGCUUGACGGUACCCGGAGAGGAAGCCCCGGCUAACUCUGUG